CAACUGUGAUCCACUGCUGUUGUGUAUGCAGACGGGGAUGCGGACAAGGACGUAAUAUCAUUAUAAAUUCAUGAAGCAAUGACUCUUGCUUGUUAUUUAGCAUCUCUAGAGUCAAUGUCACUGAGCCCUGGGAGAAAAAAAAUGACUCAAUGGAAUUAUUUACCUGCAUGUAAUACUGGACAAAUGAUUUAUUCACACAAUUUCUCUCACUUUUUCUGUAAUUUUUGGGGUUAUAUAAAAAAAUAACAAUAAAAAAAGUAUUGUUUGUGACAACAUGCCCCCAUAUAAAAACAUGUGAUAACAUUUAUGGAAGAAAAACAUCCUUCUAUCACAAAAUAACUGUCCCUAUGGUUCAUCACCAGAUUACCAUCAUUCUGUACACUGAUAUUAAGAGUCUAUAUCUGCAUCAAUAGUGAUGAAGCAUUAUUCUCAUGAAACUCAAUUUGUCCUGAUUGAAACCAAUAUUCCUUUUCCUCAAAAAGUUUUGAAUCUCUCUCUCUCUCUCUCUCUCUCUCACACACACACACACACACACACACACACACACACACACCACAACAACACCUGAACCAGCUAAAGUUACAUGACCAUCCAUAAAUGGAGAGGUAGGAGGAUACAGAGAGAGAAAAAAUAAUGGCUGUGAAAUGCUUCAUUGGUUUUGACGGUAUUGUAGGAUGAGGAAACUGUCGGGCUUUAAUCGAGGCAGACGUACAGCCCCGUCCAGAGGCAGUUGGGGAAAUGCCUGGAGGCUACUGGCUAUUGCUAUUAGUGUUGAGGAUCCAGAUCGGCCUUUCGUGAGAAGCACCCAAGGGGGCAAAGUCAGGCAUCGACAGGAUUCAGUCAGGGAGGAUUUGGAUCUCAGUUCCCACGGAAACAAGUGAGAUGUCGCUGCCAUGACAACAGGCAUCGUUCUCAGCGAUGGAGUACACAAGCCCGCUAGUCUUCCAUUAGCCACACAUGUGUUUUUAACGCGCACACACACCCAUCUCAAUUUCUCACACUAUCUCUCUCUGCAUCAGAAUGCAAAGACUCACCCUACCAUAACGACAUGGGAAUUGAGCUUCAAUUAGAAUAAUUGAAACAGUGUUCAGAACGAAACAGUCCAUUGUGACAGAUAUGAAUCAAUGCUGUUAGCUGAAGGAGACCUUGUUUUAAUUUACAUUCGGCUACGUCAGUUAUGUACUGUAUGUGGCUGCUGAAUCAUUACGGCAAUGUGUUACACCUCAUUUCCAACAAGUUAAAGAGGCUUCAACACAAUGAGCUCAGAAUGAGGAAGAUAGUGUUCAUUUGAAGACCACUGGAGCAUAGUUUUGACAAAAUUGUCCCUACACAUGACAUUGACAGUAAAAAAAUGAAUGGCUGAUUGCAGAAAAAUGAAUGGCUGAUUGUAGAAAAAUGAAUGGGAGAAACUGUAACGCUGAUAUGACGACUGUAGGAACUCCCACCUUUAAAUUUAAGAAGUAUUCUGGGUUCAAUACAAGUUGAAGUCAAUCAAUAGCAUUUGUAGCAUAAUGUUUACUCUACAUAAAGUGAUAAAAUUGAGAGUUAAGAAAAGAAACAAUGGAAGUAAAUGAGGCCAAUGUUAGUGUAGGAUUUAAAAGCAGAACUAUAAAGAUUCUAAUUUAAAAGGGCAUUUACAUUAAUUUAGCUGUUAAAGGGUCAGUUCACCCAAAAAUGAAAAUUAGGCUACGUUUUAAUCACCCCACGAGGCAUCCUAGGUAUAUAUGACUUUCUUCUUUCAGACGAAUCCAGUCGGAGUUAUAUUAAAAAUGAUCUUUCAAGCUCUAUCAUUGCAGUCAGCAGGUGUUGCAUUGCUUCAGUCUAAAAGAAGUGGAAUAAAAAGCGCCCUUCCAUUAAAAAAAAAAGAAAA
ensembl:lncRNA